rnacentral:rRNA from 1 species
GAUGAACGCUGGCGGCGUGCUUAACACAUGCAAGUCGAACGAUGAUCUCCAGCUUGCUGGGGGGAUUAGUGGCGAACGGGUGAGUAACACGUGAGUAGCCUGCCCUUAACUCUGGGAUAAGCCUGGGAAACUGGGUCUAAUACCGGAUAUGACUCCUCAUCGCAUGGUGGGGGGUGGAAAGCUUUUUGUGGUUUUGGAUGGACUCGCGGCCUAUCAGCUUGUUGGUGAGGUAAUGGCUCACCGAGGCGACGACGGGUAGCCGGCCUGAGAGGGUGACCGGCCACACUGGGACUGAGACACGGCCCAGACUCCUACGGGAGGCAGCAGUGGGGAAUAUUGCACAAUGGGCGCAAGCCUGAUGCAGCGACGCCGCGUGAGGGAUGACGGCCUUCGGGUUGUAAACCUCUUUCAGUAGGGAAGAAGCGAAAGUGACGGUACCUGCAGAAGAAGCGCCGGCUAACUACGUGCCAGCAGCCGCAGUAAUAC